rnacentral:lncRNA from 1 species
UCGAGGCAUGCUCGCCGUCGUCGGGCAUAACGUGGUCCGUCCACCGGCCUAACAUAAUCUUCGGCUUUGCUCCUCGGAACCACGCCAACGUUCUUGGCAGCUUGGCCAUAUAUGCUGCUAUCUGCAAACACCAGAAGCUCAGCUUUAAUUUUCCAGGAAACCGGCAGUCGUGGGAGACGCUUACGAACGUUUCGGAUGCCGACCUUGUUGCGGAGCAGGAGCUGUGGGCUGCAACGAAUCCAAGCGCCAAGAAUGAAGCGUUCAACGUUGCCGACGGAGACUGCACGAGCUGGGAGAGGCUCUGGGCUGUCAUGGCUCGGGAGUUCAAGCUUGAGUGUCCGGCGUACGAUGGAAAGCCGGUCAGUCUCGAACAGCUUCUGAAGAAUAAGAAAAACGUGUGGG